rnacentral:lncRNA from 1 species
UUUUUUUUUUUUUUUUUUUUUUGUGUUUUGGGGGGGGGGGGGGGGGGGCUGCUGGAGAAGAGUGUAGUGCGGGGCUAGGAGUGGGGUGGGUGGAGUGCGUGUAUAGUCUAUCUAUAAAAACUCCAGUUUCUUUUACAUUGAAAAAUCCUCCCCUUCCAGAUUCUCUCUCGUCCCAUUUCCCGAAGGGCCAAAGGAGAGGAUCUUCUCUCUGUAAGUAUAUCUCCAAUCAAUCACCAUAAGUUUUUCUUUUGUGAUUUUGUUUGUUACGGUGUGCGUGAGCGUGUAAAUCUUUUUGUUUAUGCUAUGUAUUUUUUAUUGUGGUGGUUGAUCUAGGGUUUAAUUUUUUGAGGGAGAGGUAGGGUUUUUGCUGAGUGAUGGCUUCCAAGCGGAUCUUGAAAGAGCUCAAGGAUCUCCAGAAGGAUCCUCCUACCUCUUGCAGCGCUGGUUAGAUCGCCCUCCAUUCGUCCCCUUUUUUCCUUGUCAUUAAUCUAUCUGUUUUAAUUUUAGGAAAAAGAUUGGAUUUUUCUGGCGCCCUGUUUGUUUAAAAGAUUCUUCCUUUACUGUUUAGGGUCUUUGUUCUUAAUACCUGGAUAUUCUAAAGAGUCGGACUGGACUUUUUUUUUUUUUUUUUUUAUCCUGCUUCUGCUAUCAAAUAUCCCUCAGUUUUUCUUGACGCUUAUGCCCUCAUAGAAAGUGCGUGUACAUGAGAGACACAGACAUGGCCUGUGGUUCGAAGCGGGCACGCAUUCCUUCGUCACUUUAGAGAACCUACUGAUAUGAACAUAAAUCCAGUUUAAUUUAAUUAGAGACUAUGAAGCAUCCCAUCAAGAUCAAGCUUUGAAAUUUGUAGCUAAUGCAUGUUUUCAUCGUUAAGUGCUUGAAAUUUGAUUCUUAUGAUAUAUGUUGGGGGUCUGGGAGGAAGCAUAUCUGUAGCUACAGUUUUGUGCAGUCAGAAAGAUUUGCCAUAUGUAAUGUGAUUUUAAAUAUAUGCAGUAUGAUGUAGAAGUCAAAUGUUUUGCCCCAAUGUGUAUACCUCCCCCACCCCCUUUCCAAAGGUGAAGGAAAAGAAAUUCAACUGAGAAAAAGAAAAGGUUGCUGCUGAUUGUUGUUAUGGAUAACGUGCUGAUUCUGGUCGCCAGGGAGGAGGAUAGGGGAUGGGGGGAGGGGUGGAGAGGAGGGUUGGGGAGGGGUGAAGAUAGGAAGAGGGGAGGGGGAGAGGAGGAAGUGGAGAGGGAGGUGGUGCUGGGAGGAGGAGAGAAGGGGGAACGAGGGGGUAGCAGGUGGCUGGGGGUGGUUAUGAAGGGGGAGGUGGAGGGAGAGAUAAUCUUUAAAUUUUUUAAAAACGUUCCAAAAAAUUUAAAAUUUUAAAAACACCUCAAUAUACAAUGCUACAGUAAAGUUUUUGAUAUAUGGUGUCACAGUAAACUUCUUGAAAAGAACCCCGAAAAACACCUAAUCCAUAUGGUCCCUUUGGUAUUUAUGUUUUGUGUACAAGUUUGUUCUUUUAUCUUCAAUAUAGGUUUUUUGUGUUUCUCUAGGCCCAGUUGCUGAAGAUAUGUUUCAUUGGCAAGCGACCAUAAUGGGUCCACCAGAGAGUCCUUACGCUGGUGGAGUGUUUCUUGUUACCAUUCAUUUUCCGCCAGAUUACCCAUUUAAACCACCUAAGGUACCUGAAGAGCUUGUCUGUUUUUGAUGUAUUUAUUGAUGGUUUAUUGAGUGGAACAAGGGUUUUUUCAGGAACUGCAAAAAUUUUCUCGGAAAUCUUGCUCCCUGUGAUGAAGAUUCAUCAGAUAUGCUGCCCUUAUUGUUUUCGUAUAGGCUAAUGCUAUAGGCAGUUUGUGGAUACCAGAUAUUUUAUCUCUAAUGUAUCAUACCUUCUUAAACUUACAGAAUUGUUGUCUUUACCAUGUUUAUUAUAUUCAUUUUUUCCCACAUAACUAAGCUCAAAGAAGAAUUUUUCAGUUGUUAAACUUUUGUUCACACAAGUUUAGUGCAUACACAUAGCAGCAUUAACGCAAGUUUUCCUUGUGGGUUUCGAGGAAUUCCCAUAUUCUUCAUACUGUUUUGACAACAUUGUAUAUGGUGUUCUCCAUUAUCUGUUCCUUGCAAAACUCUUGAUCUUUCCAACCAUAAUGAAGUUGCAAUUGAAAAGUUAAUGCUGUAGUUGCUUUUAUUUGUUUCUUGAAGACCAUCCCGUUGACUCGUGGGAUGUUGUUGUACAUGGAUAUUGUUAUUGCUCAAGGAUUUCAGUGGUUUUGAUUGUUUUGGGAUUACUUUUGUAGGUGGCUUUCAGGACAAAGGUUUUUCACCCGAAUAUUAACAGCAAUGGAAGCAUUUGCCUUGAUAUUUUGAAGGAACAGUGGAGCCCAGCUCUUACAAUCUCAAAGGUGUGUGUUCUUUCUCAAUUUGGUUUUUUCUCUUCUGUGAAAAAGGUGCCGCACAUUUGUGUUUUAAUUUCUUGAUGAGGACUUUGUUUGUGCAUGCAACAUAGACUUGAAGAUUCCAUGGCUAUUUUUCUAGUAAUCUAUAAUACAUUUCAAGAGAUUCCUCUGCCUUUCUGUAGCAACCCUUCCUUUUGCUGAGCUGUUAUGCAUUUCUAGAGAUUUCUUUUCCCUAUGCAUCGCUGUCAUCUGUUUGAAGUUCCCUCUAUAUGCCUCUACAUUCUGUGUCCCUUAUCUGUUGCUAUUGGGAAAUAACUCAAGAAGAAACAUGAAUUAGUAGUUCAUUGUCUGCUUAAUCGUCUUCUUUUCACCUUAAUUGGACUUUACCUGAUUAUUGGCUGCCCUAAGUUGUUUAUCAGAUUGGGCUUCGUGAUCUAUUAUUGAUUUGUUUUAAGCACACUGCAGUUGUGUAAUUGCAUCAGCUUGGGAGCUUUAAGCUACCUAAUUUACUAGCACCUUAUCCUGUGGGAAUCUCUCAAGUGCUCUAAACAUGAUUAUACAUGUCGACUACAUGGAUCAAUGCCUUAUGGUAUAAAACAAGAAAGGCUUUCUUUGAGUUACUACUCAGUGCUGCAUAGUUGAGGAAAUGUGGGCUAACAAUGAUCCAUCAAUCCCCUGGGACCCCUUCCUGAAGUAGGGAACUAUCAAUGCAUGAACUGAAUGAAAAAGUAAUCAUGAUUGUUUAGAUAUUAGAAAUUAGAUGGAGAAUGUUUGGUUGACUGACCGAGAUUUUUUUUGGUUGCUUCCAGGUGUUGCUGUCCAUCUGUUCUCUGUUAACAGAUCCAAAUCCUGAUGAUCCUCUCGUGCCAGAAAUUGCUCAUAUGUACAAGACCGAUCGAAACAAGUAUGAGACAACUGCACGGAGCUGGACCCAAAAGUAUGCCAUGGGUUAGCAGAGCAGCUGUAGUAGCGUCAUGGGAGGGUUCCUUUCCGUUGUGAAAUUAAACUCUUAUCUAUGAUAUGGCCUGCAAAAUGAAGUGUAAUAUGUUCUUUAUAUUGAGUGGACUGAAGAGAAAACAACGGAAUCCUGCCUCAAAAACUCUCUUUCUGGUUUGUAAUCUUUUUAGAAUUGUUUAAUCAUGGUUAUGUGGUUUGAUCCUCAGUCUCCCGACGGAAAAGAGUAACGUUCAAUUUUUGGCUCCUGGUAAACAUAGACAAGACUAAAUUGCAAGUUUGCAACGCACAGAAAAGGUUACUUCCGGGGAGACCUGGAGUUACGGGAAAGGGUUUGAACUUGCGUUGGGAAUGAGUGUCUAAUUGGGCGUAAUCAGUUUUGGCACCUGAUGGGACUGCAGUUGACAUUAGGAUGUGAGCAUAUUAAAACUGGGCUUAAUGGGUCGAGAUCAAUUAAAUCUUGCUCGCAACCUUGAAUAUUUUUUGCAUUUUAAGCCUUCAAAAUCUCCUUAAAUGCCAGAUCGAUCGUUGAGAUGCCCUGCAUCUUCCUAACAUCAGUUAGCAAGGAUGUGCACCUUUUUGCACAAAAGGUUGUGCAUCUGCUUGUGGAUGCAAUGUAUUGGUGAGCAAUUUAUAAGAACUUGUGUAAAGGGCUCUAGGGCAUAUCUUGAUUUGUGGUGGUGAGCAGGUCAAAUUUAAUCCUAUCAAAAAGCAUAUAUAGAGAAAGAAAUGUUUGAUUUGUGAGAUUAGAUGUUAAGCUUGUUGACUUCAGUGGAAAGGCAACCUAAAUGUUUCUCGUCUUUAUGGGAGAGAGGCGUGUGACUUAGAAAAGGAAAAGCGAUCUUGCGGAGGGAAUUGAACAUUGGUCCAGUCCAAUAUGGCUUGAAAACGAAGCAUUAUCUGGACUAUUGGUGUUUCGGGCUAUUAGGCCUGGUUAGUCUUGAAUGGGGGUUCAAAGCUAAAGAAGAAUGGUUGUAAUAUGUUUGGUCAAAGUCAGAUGGCCCAAAUUCAGGUGUCAUGUCUCUUGGAGGCUGGGAAUUCACAACAAAGCACGCUCUAAAUUCUUUUAGUUCCAGAAACACCUUGGGUUCAGAUGGCCCAAUUGGAGGAAUUGUGGUGGGGAUCUCUAAGAACGGUCCAAGUCUGGUAUGAAAAAUUUGAUCCCAUGCUGCUUCAUCUACACUGGUGGUGGCUCCUUCAAGAGAAAACAGGAGGAGGUUGUGCGUGCAAAAAAUGAGACAAGGAAAAAUAGAGCAAAAAAUCAUGAAAAUGAAAUUCAAGCUUGAUCCUUGGACAAUGAAGUUGGUGUAACUGAAAGGUCAGGUUUUUGAAUCAGAAUCUCCUUUUGAAUCUAAACAAAAUAAAACAUAACGGUGGCAACGAAGAUAUAAAGGAUGUGAAUUGCAAAAAGACGGUAAGAGUCAUUUUUGUAAACUAUAACUAUGAGAAGCGAAGUGUUAGCUUCUUUUCUACUCAUCCUUCCGCCAGUGAAAAAAACAGGUAGACGUUGGCACGUGGCAGCUCAGAAGGAGGCCACUUUUCAGAUUUAAUUCUUGGUGCCGCGUGCCAACCAACGACUCAAACUUUCCUUCUUCAAAAGGGCUUUUUUGUAUGCCACUUUUUUGCUACGAAAUUCCGCAGAACAUAUUAUUAUUGUAUAUUGUAGCCUUUCUUACAUCACCUUUUGUUUUUGUUUUUUUUUGAGUCAGAUGGAUAAACGCUAGUAGUAGUAGUAGUGUGUGGUGACUGGUGAGUGAAUGAUACAAGUGCACAUCCAGUUUUUAAGGCCUCUUCUAGUUCUAGGUGGCCGGUAAUAAUACUUGUAGUUUUAUAGGUCUGCCAUCCCCAUAUCCCAUCUUCUCAUAAUGAAAGUGAGUCCAAUUACAGUGCAUGACACAAGACCACGAGCAUCCCACUAUGGCUACGUGUUCCCCCUGAAUCUGUCUAAAUUUUUACUUGGAUCCCAUGAGCAUCUUUGGAAAAACCACAGGAAAAAAAAAAAAAAAAAACAGACUCUAUAAGCAUAUCUGCCCACGUAUGUAUAUAUAUCUACAGCACUGGCUGGCUAAUAUGCCAACUAGCUAGACUCGUUAUGUAUCCUAAUAAAUGGAUGGGCCACAAUUAUCGGGGAGCAUAAUUAAUUAACCAUCUUCGAUGAGUUGUGCAUAUGCCUGGUACUAGCACUCAUUCAUAACUCCCGACAAUAAAUACUACAACAUACAUACAUACAUACAUACAUACAUAUAUAUAUAUAUAUAUAUGUGUGUGUAAAACUUGAGUUUCAUACAAAUUUAAGUUGAAAUUAGUUUUCAUACAUUCAAAUUUAAUUUAAUAGCGGUGCAUCAUACACUGCUAUCAGUAUAUCAAAAAUUAAUCCAUAAACAAGAUCGUCAACGCUUUUUUGGUUUUUUUUUUUGUGUAAAGAAUUUCUUUUUGGUUUUUUGGGGGGAAGAAAGGAAAAGGAAAAGGAAAAGGAAAAGGAAAAAGAAACAAUUGGUUGGGUGCAUUGCAUGGGACAUUCGUGUUAUUAUUAAUGAAUGAAUUGAGACCAGUUCCAUUGCAUCUAAUAAAUUGAAAUGGGAUCCUUCGUUUCGUUAGCACCACCCGAAGACAGACACGAGUAUCUGGAUAGCCUUUGUGGUGUCUGCAAUCUGCAAUCUUUGCAGCAGCAAUUGAAUCGGUGGUGGAGACCGGAAAAUCCGGGGGUCAAGACCCUCUCCAGUCUCCAGUCUCCAGUCUCCAGUCUCCACCACCCCGUGUUGCUGCUUCUAAAUCCGUUUUUGCUCCCCAUGAAGAAAGAAAGAAAGAAAGAAAAAACAAAAAGACAGAUUUAGAGCUUUGGUUGUCGCUUCUUUUCAUUUAAAAAACUAUACUACUAUUAGCUUUUUGUAUGGGGUAUUGUAUUUGUGACCCAUUCCUUUUGAUGUCCAGCAACAUUUGUAUACUAUAGACUACUGUUGCAUCUUUUUCUACUGAACCUGUGAAAAUAUUUUUUAUUUGCACUGUGGUACAGACUACAGGGUACGGAAUUUGUAAUUUAGGCAGGCAAAAGGGUUCAUGCACACGAGUGCUGGACCAUUAUUUUGCCACCAAGAAAUUAAACUAAUUUCAUAGUCAAGUACUGCCCUUUUUCUCGAUUUAGAGCUACACAAUAAUGACCAUUGAGAGUAUUAUCUGUAGUCUGAUCCCCACUCAAAUAUCGGAGAACAAAAUGAUCUGGACUUCGCCACAGAAAGAUUAAUGGGUACAUACAUAAUCAAGAAAACCAUAAAGUUCUUUCUUGAGUUGCAACAAUUAUUUGCUUCAUGAGUUGUUUUGAUUUGGAGGAGUAACACACUGUAACAGUUUGCAGCCUUUUCGCUGGUGGGUUCUCCACUCAUGCUUCAAUAAUUUCCUUACUUUGCCGGCAGUUAAACACUUGACUCGAAUUCGAACUAAUUGAGUCUGAGAAUCGAAUAAUUGUGUAUUAUUUACUCUAAUAUUUCUUCUUAAUUAAGAAAUGACUAUUAUGGAUUCAUGUGUUAGUCGCAGUAUUCUUGUCAAGCUCAAUCGUGAUCGUAGAGUCAGAGUCGAGGAGAUGGGAUUUCCCAAGUUCCUAAGCCCGAACUGAAGUUGGAACCGGGAGCCACGUCGACAUCACAUGGGGGCACGUGUCAGCGCCCUGACCGUGAAAAGCAGCAUAAAAGGCGCCGGAAGCGGACUUUUCAAACGUUGGAUGCGUCAGCAUUUUUCUGGGGUUUCCCCCAAAUCCAAAAACCGGCCUGUAAUUUUGUCUUUGACUGUGUAGACAUGGGCCCGAACGGUCCCCCUGUUCUUUCCUUCCGGCGACCUCAAGCUCGCUCGCUCGCUCGCUCGCUCCCGCCAGGCCACCAUUUCUUCGCUUCGCUCAGCUCACCUAAGUAAGGGCUCCUCUUCCUUCCUUAGGCUUACAUGAUGCUUUUUUAAAACUGUAGCUAGAAGAGAGACAAUAUACACAUUCGAAUGAGUAUUUUUUUUCCAGCACUUUGCCAUAAUUGUAGCUAUUGAUUGUCAUUAUUAGUUAGCAGAUUAAAACUCUGGUCAAUAGCAUUCUCUUUCGAGUGCGUUCUUUUCGUUGUUUAGGAGAGAACCAUCGCUAAGCUAAUACCCAGUGAAAGGCGAAAUGGCGAGAGACUGACUGACUCCAGAAAUGUCAAAUGGAACUGCUGCAGCAGUAGUGCAUGCAUAUCAAUCCAAUAAUGGAAGGAUUAAGUAAGAAUUUGACUUGAGAAAAACAAUUUACUUGCACAAGUCAUGCAAGGAAACUAGUUGCAUGCACGUACGUACGUGAGUGUUAACAAGAAGGACGAGUUUUUUGCAGGUUGAUUUUGAUUAAUUUAGUAGCUAGGAUUGUUAGGAGGGCUGCUGCACUCAAAUCUUCCAAACAUGGAGGGGCUUCACGUGCCUUACUGUUUCUCAGCCCGCUCUCCUUACAGAUGUAGCAGUCUCCUGUCUAAAUCUUGAGUCUAGCUAGUUCCUUCUUCCCCUUAAAUGUUCAGCUUGGGGGUCUAACUCGUUAAUUAAAUUAAAUGGUUGCGGAUAGAAAAGAAUUAAAUUACUGCCAAAGCAAGUUGGCUGUAAUUAAUCGUCUAUUGUGGUAGUACUGCUUUACCGGACUGAACCAGCCGUACUUAUGCAUUGUUAUUAUUGUGUACUGUUCAUUAGAAUGUGCUUUCAAGAAUUUUGCUGCGACGGUAGACAAAAAAGAUGAAUGUAAAUGGUGGUGCCAAUUUACGUACGCAAUCAUACAAUUAAUUAAGGUGCUUUAGCUAAUUUUCUGCAGUUUGGAUUGCUAAAAUUAAUACAAUUAAUUUUGCUAUUAUCUGCAUUGCUAUUUGUUGAAACUUUUAUAGAAAAAUAUAUUAUACCAAUUUAAUGUAUAUGUGGUAAAAUUACGAUUGAAAAAUUGGUUCAUUAAAAAUUUUGUAGGAGAAAAUGGCAAGAAUCCAACAAAAGUGUAUGUGUGUAUGUAUGUAUGUAUGUAUGUAGCACUCUUAACAAAUUGAGAAAUAUCCCUAUUGAGUCCCUUUAUCAGGCUGUAGUUAUACAUGGACAAACACACCCCAAAGUUACACAGCUGAUCAACCAGCUUUCCCCAAGCUUAAGAUUUAUUAACCAACCCACCCCCCCCCCCCCAAAAAAAAAAAAGAAUACACAUGAAAGAAAGGGAAGAAGGAGGUGUAUGAAGUUCUAGCUAGAAAUUUUUUGCACUUACCGAUAGAUAGAAAAAUUGAUCUGAAGCUGAGAAACACGUAAAUUUUCUUGAGAAAAUUAAGGGAUUUUUUCCCAAGUAUAUUUGAUAGUAAUAAAAAUCCGAAACAAUAGUACAAGCACUCUCCUUCCAAUGGUAAGAGGCAAAAGUAAGUAAUAAACAAAUAAAGGAGAUCGAUAGACUUAUGCUCUCCUCAUUAUAUUAUAGGGUCAUGAUUCUGCGGGUAUAACUUGAUUGAGGUGGUAAGGUCGAUGAUGGGUUUUGACUUGGGCGGAACUGGAAGCCGAUAUACAGAACAGGACGCAAAGAAAGGUACUGAUUUUCUGCAGUUGGGUGGCUCAAAGGGGGAGCACUAAUUAGUUGCCAUCUUGGGGAAGAUGUCCAUUGACUUCAUUCCUUCUGCGAAGUGGAUCGAGUUAAAAAUCACAACUGGCAAAUCAACGGUAAAAAUGUCGGAGUUCGAGAAAACGAACGAAGAUCAAUGCAUGUUGUAUUACUUAUAGAGAGUAGUUAUUACUUAGAUUACUUGUCCUUUAGUUUAUGGUUUUGGGUAUCUAUUGAGUGUUUUGUCUUUGCUAAUCCCUUCUUCACUCGACCAUUCUGGAUCUCUUAUGAAAUGAAACACCAAUUAUCAUCAUUGCCAUGCAUGCACCCUCUAAUAUGAAGUCUCUCGGUCUUAAUUAAUUUGUACGUGCACGUUUUUAUAAUUAAACACACCAUCUUCCUUGCUGGCUACGAGUUUGUACGUAAUAUGAUUCCACUAAUUAAACUGAUUCCUGUACCAUGUUAACAUGACAACAAUACUACUGUAUGAUCAACUAGAUGAAUGUCAAUUUAGUUAAUCUCAAAUGUCAUUCAGUGAAACCAUCCAUUAUGUGAGUGGUCGACAAUCUUAUUGUUUUUUAUUUUCAAUGUACGUUUCCUUGUAAGUGGCUCGUGCGCUAUGAGCAUUUUACUAACUCAGGGAACAAAUGGAAUAAACUGCUGUACAGAGUUCACUGCAGUCUUUUCUCACAGGUUUAGUUUAGGACCUUAAUUUCAUAUUAGUGCUAGUAAUCAAUCGUAUUAUAUUAAUUAGUGCUAUUUCACUUAAGACAAAAGCAAAUGUCCUAGGUAACAUUAACCAUAUAUACUAAGUUCAAAAGAAUUCCCAUUUCAGCUGUUUACGUGAAAUCAAGUACAAACUAAUCUUAUAUAUAUAUAUAUAUAUAUAUAUAUAUAUAUAUAUAUAUAUAUAUAUGCCCAGCCAAACCACUAGUGUCUGAAAUGAGUCAUUUUAUGGCCAAAUUUUGCAUCCAACAACAGAACGUACAAUUACAUGUGUCUCUGCACAAACUGAUGAAGCAUAAUCCAAAAUCUGAUUAGUGUACAAACCGGCAAAUGAUUUAUUCAUUAGGAAAUUCCUGUUACGAUUUCUUGCCCUAACGACUAAUCAUUCAUUCAAUAAUGCCACCCCCUAAGAAAUCAGAUUUCGGGUCAAUUGAGUUUAUAGCUCAAUGAUGGUAUUGAGCCAGGCAAAGCAAACAGCACCUAACAAAAACGUGUUAGCCUUAAUCCCAGUAUUAAUUUAAGUUCAAGAAAAGCACUAAUGCAUUCAGCAAGAAAGUGACCCUUUGGACAGUAUUAACGGAGGCUGGAGAUCUCGUCCAUGUAAAGACAAUUUUCAAUUCCCGUCUACGGGUCAACUUUACUUUGACCAUGAAACAAACAAAAGUACUCUUUCCUUUCCUUAAUAUGGCCCAUUGAGUCAUCGUUUGUUGUAUACGGCCCCAAUUGGUUUGAGGGAAUCCUUUCGUAGCACAGGAGAAAUGGCUGUUUUCGUAGAUCUCUCAACAAGAUAUCCUUCGUGUGAUUGAGAUAAACUUUUUUUUUUUCUUGUAAUGAACACUCGAUCACGUGAGUCAUAUUUUGAGUCAACUUGGACGUACAUUGAGAAUCAUAUUCCCGAAUUAUUGAAAAGAUAGAAACGAGAGCUAUCUAUCGAUCACUGAAUUUGAUUCAAUGGCCAAAUCCUUCUUUGAAUUAUAGGUGGAGAUUCAAAUUACACUUGCAGUGAAAAAAAAUUAAAAAAUGGUGCCAUAGUACCUUUUAAUCGAUUGAGUGUACCUGUAGUAAGCUUACUCUACUUCCUCUAAACGAGCUUAAAUCGUAAAAGAAAAAUAACCCAAAUCAAGUGGAAAAAUAAAUAUACGAGUACGUGCAUUUAAAUAGUAAAUUCUAUGCAUGACAUGCCGGGUGUUCCCAAAACACUCGAUGAAAAAUAUCGUGGUAUUUUUAGAUUAUUUUAAAAUAGCUAAUGAAUUACGUAUAUAUGGGGGGCAUUGGUCAUCAAUUAGCACAAUGAAUAAAUAGAGAUAUGAAUUUCAUUAAAAGCUACACGACGGGAUUAUAACUGUUUGAAACCUACAUCCAAUCAUUAAAUGCUGGAAAGAGGCCCCCAGAGCAAGUCUUCUUUCCAUAAUUAGGCUCGUGGAAGUCAAGUGGUACCCGCACCGCUCAACUUGACAUCCCGCGUCACCUUUGUUUAAGGUUGAUUAAUGGGAUAAUAACAUAAUUAAUGACUAAUCAGAAACCGGCUGCUGAAUAAAGAAACAGUUUAGACGGCUUAUUUGUCUGAUGUGCCGCGAAGGAAUGAUUGGUCCUUUCGCAGCCGCAGCAAGGGAUCCAAUAACCUUGGGCCGGCCCACGCCCACACUGAAACCUUAGACUAGUGAACAGUGAGUCAAAGUUACUGUACUGCCCUCGUACUUUACCCUUCGUUUAGCCGUGUUGCCUAAUUUGAAACAUGUACGCAAGGAUAAAAACCGUUAAAGAUUUUUUGGUAUUUAACAGCAUCUGAAUUUGCCGUCUGUAUACUCAAGAUUUAAGUGGGGACGCGAAAAAAAAAAAAUUUGUAUUGUACGGUAAACUUGUUGGUGGUUUAACGUUAAAUGAACGAACUUACUGGGGCAAAAUGAAUAAACAAGUAAAUUUAGGUUGGAUUUUUUUUUUUGAAGAAUAGUUAGUUUGGUUUCGGAAUUAGGCACUGUGAGUUUGAAAUCCAAUCCAAAAAUACCAUAAUAUUUUGAAAUGAUACAAAAUUCACGUACAUGGGAAUUAGACAGUGUGAGUUUAAAUUUUAAAUCGCGUUUUUGAAAUUUAGAGAUUGCAAUUUUUUAAAAAAAAAAUAGAGAUGCAAACUUUAUAAGAGGCAAAAAAAAAAAAGAGAAAAAAGUGAAUGGAUGUGACAUUUAAUAAUUAGUCUUUAGGAUUAAGGAAAAUCUAUUCUUUUUUUUUAAUUUAAUAGACAAAAAAAACUAUCGGUCCAACGGUUUUAUUCCAAUUUGCAUGAUAUUGCAUGGUUCAAAUGGUUUUUAUCGAUUUUUAAGUCCAAUAAACCUAAAGUAUAAAUCGGACUAGAGUUAUGAGCGAUUCGCAAUUCGAUCGGUUGAACCAACCGAUCGUGUCCGGUCAUGAAUUUGGGCAAAGCUUUUAUAACGUUGAGGUGAUUAUUGAUUGCGGACACCAAAACAUGAGUACAUUUUUCAAUGUGCAUGACAGGAGUUAUUCAAUGUAAACAUCUAAAUCUGUGUCAAGAUAAUAAAGGAAUUGGCACCAUAAAAAAGAACAGAAUAGAGUUUUGGUCAGUCAUACAAUAUAUUACAAUCUCACAUCUAAAUUUGUCUUCCUUCGUCAGGGAUUCUUGAGUAAUUUAAAAGGGAAAUAUGAAACCGGCGUGACUAUUAUCCUCGGAUAUGUUAUAUGACUAUCUUUAUUCCAUCCCUUAUUAAGUACUUAAUUAGGUUGUCCCUGCGAAAUUUAUCUUUGAAGCAUCCGUGUGUGUAGCUAGAUUAUAAAAUUCAUCUUGUACAAUGGUCCCCUUUUUUUUUUCUUUUUUUCAAAUGUUAGGCCAAUGUUUAUCCUGGAACAGGCAUGACACCUGUCUUUCUUGCAUGUCAUGCCAUGUAAAGAAGUGGUAAUUUGUAGUGCGUGUUUAACAAUACUACACCCCCUGUGUUAACGUGCUCGAUGUGGAGUGGGACCUCCUUUCUCGAGUCGCAGGAAAUUAGUUGGGCCCCGUAAGAAUUGAUUCGAACACUCUUGUGUUGACAAAAAAAAAAAAAGGUUUAACAAUACUACACAAAGAGGAAAUAUAUACGACAUUGAAUCGGAAAACUUAAAACCAUAAUGCUGUAGUCUAACAAAAAACCAACAAAAGAAAAAAAAAUCUUGGAAAACCCAAAAGGCAGGCGCGCAAUGGUGAGGAUCAAGUGGAAACAGUGUGAUGCCCAAACGUUAAACGCCACUCGUAAGCUAAAUACAAAUACAAGAAAGUGGUAGAGGAGAGGUGGUUGAGGUCUCAGAUGAUACGGUACCAAGGUGGCAACUGGCAGAAGUACGAGUGGGAAUGCUCUUUUCUACAUCUAUCUGGUCUUUAGUCUACUCCCGAAUAGUAUAAAAUUGCUUAGAGAGCAGCAUGGGAAUUCCAAACCAACCAAGAAAAAAAAAAAAAAAGAAGGGCAAUUUUAUGAAUGGCGCCAAAUUCUAGGUUGCCUCCCACGUUUAUUUUAGCUGUAAAUUCAGCAGGAAAACAGGUUACAAAAUUGCAACCACUCCAAUUUUAAAAUUUACCACUGCUGCUCUGUUUGUACCAUUAGAAACGGUAAAACUUUCUCUACAACGGUCUCUAGAAAUCAGGCGCUAAAAGCUCACCAGCUCUCUUCUAUAAAAGCAUAUUAUAUAUAGUAGUGUGUUGCUACUAUUUACUAGUAAAUCUGUUCAAUAAACCACAUUUAAAUUCAUAAUUACCAGCAUUAAACGCUAACCCCAGGACUAUAAGGCCUCAGAGUUGAGAUUGCUACUCUUAAUUAAGAUCUUUCGGUCAAAGAUAGACUGACGCACUAUUACUAGUACAAUGACUCGCUCGCUACUCCUAAAGAGCUAACUGCCCAGUCAUUUGAUUGACUCGACUGACUAAAUUAACGGAACCGCCCUCUCCGGUGUCACGUGACAUGAAUCACAGAUUCCAAUGACUCGGAGGAUGAAAAAAAAUACACCACCGGUACAAAGAAGAAAAAAAGAAAAAAAACGACCCUUAGCCUGCUGUAACUGAUUCAACGCCAUCUACAAUCCAUCCAUCACUCAUUGCUAGCCGUUAAAUUAUUGACCACAUUUAUCCACAUGUCAAGAUCGUACUGCUUUCUCCACUAGAUGCGGCGGCUCGCCUAAAAUAUCUGCCGCUGCAUCGCUCUCUGAUUAGACAGAAUUACUAAUCAAUUUUAACUGAAGGUUAAAACUGGCAUAACUACAAAUUACUACUAUAAGUAAAAACAAAACUACUAGGCUAGAGCAUAUAUAUACUAAUAUAUUUGUUUAAUUUUGAGAAUUUCGUUUAAUUAAAUAAUAAUAGUAGUUCUUUUGAAACAAUCGUAUCCUAUAAAAGCAUUUCCAGCAGUAGCUUCGGUCUACAAUCCAACUGAAUACACACUCCCCCUCCCUCACACUCUCACCCUCUUGCUCUCUUCUUCUUCUUCUUCUUCUUCUUCUUCUUCCACAGCCUCUGCCUCCUUUUCUCCAUCUGCUCCUGCUCAAAGCCUCAAGCGCGCCACCCUCCCUGGCAUCCAUCCCCUGAAUUUUUGAGCUUUUGGAUUUUCUUUUUUUUUUUAUAGCAGAGACAGGAGGAGCAGAAACAGAAACAUGAAGCUUUUGGGACACCGCUUGUGAUUCUUCUGGAACAUAUAUUCCCUUUCCUUUUCCAUCCCAAAAACUUUCACCAAUAUAUAUACACUUUCCUGUAUGUUUCUCUUUUCUCAUCUUCACUCUUUUUGCUCCAACACACCCUUGAGUGUGUGUGUGUGUGUGUGAUAUAGAGAGAGAGAGAGUUAAAAAGAGAGGCUUUGGAAGAUAUCUAUCCAUCUAUGUAUCUAUCUUUAACUCACUUUCCUAAGUAAACAUCUCUUCUUUUAUUGCUCCUUUCCUCGAACUUUCUCUUCCUUUUUUAGUCACCUCAUCUUAGAAACCCAUGGUAAUUUUUAUUUUGCAGUGUUAAUUUCAAGGGCGUUUAAGCUUUAGCAACGUUCAGCUGCCCCUUUAUUCCGAGAAUCUCUUCCAUCCCUUCUCCUCUCCUCACUUCUGCGUCUGGGUUCUACCCCCUUUCGCUUUCAAAUGCGAACCUGACUCAUAAUCUUCGCUCCUUUUCCUCGGGUCUCUUUCUUUUUCCACUCUCUCCCCCAACACGAUGGACCAACAAAGAAUGCAAGACAUGUUGACUAAUAAAAAGGGAGUGAAAUACACCGAGCACAGGAAGCAGUACGAUCUUCUUCUUCAUUCAGGAAACGCUCCCCUUGUUCCUAAUUUAGUUGUAUUUGAUACUCAACUUGGUACCAAACAUGCCCCUAACCUUAAAUGUCUGAAAGGUUAUAUGAGUAAGUAUAAUGAAAUUAAAGCUAUAAUAACUUGUACUCGAUGUUCCAAUUACACUCCAAACACUCUCACAUUCCCAAAAUAGCCCCACCCUUGCGGUUGAAAUCUAAAAACCUUCUUUGUGCUAUAUAAACUCGUUCUUAUACAGUAAGUAUAUAAGGAUGUAUAUAUGUUAGAGAUGUGGUGGAUGGAAAAAUCAUGACCCCAUUCGUCUGAAAUGAUUCGUAACAGUUGGUAAGCUGCCAUUUGUGAGUUUCAAUGCCAAUCUUGAUGCAUACUUGUAACCGCAAUCGGGAAACAUUUGUAUCAUGUCAUCUGCAAUAUUUCAACAAAGAAAUCUCUUGCACAUUCUUGUUCAAUGCUCGGCAUCCGUAUGCAUUUGACCUCCCUCAACUGUAACUUAGGUACUUUUGUUAGAUGGUAUAAUCUAAACACAUGCAGCGUCCGGUGAUAGAUAAUUCAAAAUGAUUUUGGAGAUCUUUUGGCUUAUUUACGGAAAGCUUUGUAUUCCCUUCUCUCCAAGGAAAUUUACUUAAACAGAUGUGCAAUUUAUCACUGGGGAAAGUUUGAAGAUCGAGCGGGAACUGCUCAGCCAGCCUAGGAUAACUCAACUGCAUUAACUAAUACAUUUAUCUCCAUCUAAUGAUUUCCACAGUUAAAAAUAGAUUAAGAUUGUUUUAAGCAAACAAAUAGAUGCCGUUUAGGCAGACAAUACGUACUCGAAAUAAAUUAAGCUAUAAAAAAAAAAAAAAAAAGGCAUUGCAGAAAAUCUGUGUGCAGUUGAAGCUUAAAUUACAAUGGAUUUAAUCAUCGCGCACAGAUGUUAAACAAUACAGUCCUCCUUCUUUCUUUUAUAAAUGACGCCUCCUAUACUUAAUGGGAAACCCAAGUUAUAUAAGGAGUUAGAGAAGCAGGAGGUCCACCUAAAAUUAGACCUCUGGAUUUUUGAGAGUUUUUCCUAUUGGUCUACAGCUUAGAAAGGGAUUCUUAAUGCCUCCUAGUGGCCAAAGUUGCCUUAGACAAGUUAUUUCCGAGUUUCGCCCUAAUCAUUAUAAAAUAUAUAUAUAUAUAUAUAUAUAUAUACUAAGGAAAUUCAUUUUCCCAAGAUAUGCUUUUAUUGUUUGGAUGCUAUGUCUUAGGGAAUUAAAUACCAAGGAUAGAUUGAAGAACUGGGAGGUAAGACCAGAAGGUGAGCUUUGCGAGCUACGUCAAGGCCAAUUGAAGACCAUGAAUCACUUUGUUCAGUUCCUUGAUUGUUCUGUUUCAAGGAAAGUGUAAAAAAAAUUGUUACACAUGUGCUUGUCUGAUACUCUACCAUGGACAAAUGAAGAACAAUGGUUAAGUGUCCAUUCGAAGUCGAAAUCUUUUCCUGAUCAAGUGAGGAGAUUGGCAUUUGUUGAGGUGGUAUACCAUUUCUGGAAGGCUAGAAACCAAUCUUUUUUCGAACACAUGUUUGUAAAAGAAGAGGACAUUGUUCGUGAAGUGCAGGCUACUGUAAAAGAUUUAGUGGCAGGUUGAGAAAAAUUUCCAAUAAACAAGGGGUAUAGAGUUGGGAAUUGGCUAUAGAGUUGGGAUUUGGCAUAGGGUACUAUUAAUGUAGUAGAAAUUCUACAUUUCAUGUACAGACUUACUAUUCUUAUCAAUAAAAUGUUUAAUUUUGUUCAAAAAAAAAAAAGAAACAACGUACAACUUGUACACAUAAUAAAUAUCUUUUCACAAGAACCAAAAUCAUGCUAAAAGCACAAGGGAGAGUGGAUAGACAGAAACAUACAAUAAAAAAAAAAAAGAAGAAGAAGAAGUAGAUUUUCUGGAUGAAAACUCAAAAGAAGAGCAAAAAAAAAAAAAAUCAGCAAAGAUUGGAAUCUUGAGCUUGGGUUUGACACAGCAGCCAAGCCAAGCCAAGCAUUUAAGGUAACGUGGUAGUAUUUUCAAUUUUGUUUUGUCAGCUUAACGAACUUCUUCGGGUCAUCAUCAUCAGUCCCAUCCCAGUGCCGUACUGCUCAUCCUUUUGCAUUGCACCUAGUAGGAUUUCGGGGCUGCUCCCUCCAAUUUGUGGGCCCUUUGUCCAGCUCAGCGAACCUGCGUACGACAGCACUCGACAAUAUGCAGAUUAGACGGGGACGUGAUUUUAAGUAGUCCCACAUCGAUUCGAUUCUUGAGAGGGGUUUGAGUUGGAUAAUUAAGUCUCUGAAUUGCUUUCAAGAGUUAUCGAUUUUUGAAAAUUAAUUUAAAACUAAAUUUAAUUUAUUUAAUAAAAAGUCAUUAUUAGAGGUGAAAAAAGAUGGGGACGUGAUUUUUGUGCCGCGCGCCGGGGUGAGUACAAAAUGCAGUUAGUAUUGUGCUGAGGUGAGUGCAAAGUUUCGCCCUGGAAAGGAAUUUUUCAUUAAAAAAUUUUUUUUUUACACUUUUCAUAAAUAUAUUUUUUAAUUAUUUUUUAUUUUACAUUUAUCAAAAUAUCUAUUAAAGACAGUUUUAUUCGUCCCUUAAAAUAUAGGGCUUGUUUGGAAGUGAAGUUUUUGGCCAAGUUUUUUAGCUACUAGUUUUUUAACAACUUUUGCUACAAGAACCCCAAAAAACUUAUCAAAAUUUUUUACCUACACACUUUAAAAUAAUACACAAAAACUUUUUUCCAAAAUCUUAGCCGUUCCUUUGCUCCUUUAACUCUGCUCUCUCUCACAAGUCAUAAGCACCUCAACUCAAUCCUGCAAUUCUCUGCAAACCUCUAGGCGGGAAAAAAAAAUCAAAUUGUGCAUCAAAUUUCCAAAUUUCCAGAUGAUGCUUAAUAUGAAAGCCUCCCCAGAGGCCCAGACGACGUCGUCUUCAUCAUCAUCGCCGUCCGCUCAAUUGUUACAGCGGAGAAGGCUUUCUCGUUGAUGGAGCGAGGUCCGCUACUCCGCAGGUGCUGACCUCCAAAUGAUUAAGAACCGAGCGAACAAGGGAACAGGGGAAUAGGGAAGGGGGUGGCGGGCAGAGGGGGUGGCGUGCAGAGGGGAGGGAGAAGGGGUAGAGGGGGUGGCGUGCAGAGGUGAGGGGCAAGGGGCAGGGGGCGCGGCAGCUGGGGAAGGGCUGGCGGGGAGGAGGCGGCGGGGGGCGCGGGGCGUGCAGAGGUGAGGGGCAAGGGGCAGGGGGCGCGGCAGCUGGGAAGGGCUGGCGGGGGAGGGGGUGGCGUACAGAGGGGAGGGGGAAGGGGCAGAGGGCUGGCGGGGGAAUGGGGCUGGCGGGGGGCGCGGGGCGUGCAGAGGUGAGGGCAAGGGGCAGGGGGGGCGCGGCAGCUGGGGAAGGGCUGGCGGGGGGAGGGGUAGCGUGCAGAGGGGAGGGGAAGGGGCAGAGGGGCUGGCGGGGAAGGAGGCGGGGGGAAAUGCAGAGGAGAGGAGAAGGGGAAAGGGAGGUCAGAGGGGUGGCGCGGAAGGGGAAGGAAGAAGAAGAAGAAAAAAGAGAGGAAAGAAAAGAAAAAUAAAGAGAAAGAAAAAAAGAAAGAAAGAAAAAAAAGAAAAGGAAAAAAAAUUCACCUUACAAAAACUUUAACAAAAUUUUUUAUCUUAUAAAAACUUCUACAAAAAAUUUUUCACCUUAUAAAAACUUUUACAAAAUUUUUUCAAAAACUUCUACAGUGCACUACAGUAAAGUUUUAGACAAACUCUCAAAAAACCCAGGUUCCAAACAGGCCCAUACUUCUUGGCGACACCUGGGAAAGUUGGACCAGUGCAGCUUACGGCAGGCCUGCUUUUCGGUCGGCUCAGUCACUUUUCCAGCCCAACUUUCGUUUUGUUGCCCUUGGUUUUGCGCUUCUGCAUGCAACUACGGGGAAUCCUUUUGAUGUUUGGGCCGUUUUGGCUUUCUGUAUCCAAGUCUUCUACUGAAGCCCGUGAUCAAGGAACUGCAGCUAAAGUAGAUUAUAGGCCUUACCCCUUUCGGGGCAACGAUUACAAUUAUCCUCGUGUUGCUAGAAUCUUGAGCCACUAGUGUACGCAUGCCAUAGGAGAAGUUAAACUCUCGAUCCAAAAUUUUGCAAAUCCACGUUGAACCCAGGGUCAAUGGUUCAAAAAGGGGCCAAAACAUAAACUAAACUAUUCGAUAUUCGAAUUGAACUCGAUUCAAUAAAAUAUCAUUCGAGUUUGGUUCAUCAGUUAGUUAAAUCAAACUUGAACAACAUUUUAUAGUCAAUAAACUUUUAAACUUAACUCGAGUUUAAUUCUAUUCCUAUAAAAUUGGAUUUGAUAUGUAAAAAUUCAAACUACUUGAGCUCGACUUGAUGAAAGCUCAUUCGAAUUCGAUUCUGCAAAACAAAAAAAAAAUCAAACUUGAAUAAAAUUUCAAACUUAUUAAAAUAAUCAAACAAGCUUAAAUAUUAGAAUAUUCAACUUGAUUAGACUAGUUUAUAUCCCUAUCCACAAAACUAAACCUAGCUACAUGGAAAUUGAAUUGUUUUAAAAUUAGAUGGGUGGUAUUAUGUGCAAAGACCAUUGACAAAAAAUUUGCUAUUGUUUAGUCACUUAAGAAAUAAAAAGGAGCAUCUUUUUGUAUGUCUUUUGAUGUCCUUUCUCCUCCAAAAGAUGAUCUAUCCUUUCUCCUACAAAAGGAUAUUCUAUAUAUGCGCAACGGAUUAGUCAAGGCAAAACUCUGGAUAUCAUGACAGGCAACCAAAUAUAUAUAUGCGCAAAAUCACACGUGCCAAUAUAUGUACAUUCGGACGGUAUGCAGUCUAACCCACCACUUUUAAGAAGGAAAUGCAACCCCACCAGUUGAGUUUUGUCCAAUUCCGUGCACUUGUUAUCAUUCUUAAAAUAAUAUUUGAUAUAAAUUUACACAAUUUUAGUGUAAUUGUAAAGUUUACAUUAUUUAAUUAUACUAGUUUUUGGGCCCUGCGCCAGCCUGUGUUGGGGUGAUGGAUUUUGUUGUGUGAUUGGGUGGAUUUUGUUGAUGGAAAGACCAAGACACCCCUCGAAAUCAGCAGAAUUACCAUCGAAACCCGCUCAUGGUGUUUGUGUGAUUGGGAGGAUUUUGUUGAUGGAAAAACCAAGACACCCCACGAAAUCAGCAGAACUACCAUCGAAACCGACCCAUGAUUGUACUGUAGCAAAUGGGCGUUCCCCCUUUUAUAUAUUUAAGAUAAGUAAACAAUUUUCAUGAAUACAUCAUAGUUGUACAAAUUUACACUAAAAUAUUAUAAGAAUUACAUCAAUCGAACUGAACAAGAGAGGCAUCGGAUUUGAGUAAGAAAUAAAAUAACGCGAUGAUUAGACUUUUUUUUUCCCUUGUUUUCAAAUUUAAUAAUUACUUCCAAACAGAUUUUUAUUAUUAUUUUUUUUUGGUGGUGGUGGCCGUCUGAACAAUUCUUGCAUAACAUUCUUGAGGAGGAAGAAAUUUAUAUGUCGGGUAAAACUUAAAACAGUGUGCGCGGGGGCCGCUGUCUGGACUCUGGUUCUCUUUCAAUUUCCCAGAGCCAGGAAAACGACCAAACAGCCCCUUCUCUAAAACCCUCCUGCUUUCUCUAGAACCCCCAAAAUCAGAAGAAACAGGGGAAGAUGGAUUCAGCUCGGAAAGGCCAAGCAAUAUGCGGGCAGGAGGCACUGAAUUUGCUCAACUGCGUCACCGAAACCCCUUACGAUCAAGAGAAGUGCCUCCGUCUCCUUCAGUCGUUGCGCCAAUGCGUCGUCGACAAGGUGCUCAUUAUCUGUUUGUCUGUUUAUGUUUUACUAUGAUGUAUGAUUUGAUACUCCUACUUGUUUUGCGGAGUACUGGAUUUGGUUGUACAUAUUGUGCUUGUUAAAUUGACAAAUUAAGUUGCUGAAGCGGAUUGGGAAAUCAACUGGUUUGCGUUAAUGAUUACGAUUAUGAUUAAUUAAAAUUGAAAUAGAUGAGGAAAGGUAAUGAUAAGGGUUGGAGAUUAAAGGCUUGAAAGUUGCUUGUGUUUGAUCAUUUUCCUUUUUACCAAUUAUUGCUGCAUCGAAAUAAUAAAUGAAGGACCUUUGACGGUAUCUUCAUGUUGAAGUACCUUAUCCGACCCAAUUGCGUGAGACUAUGGACGAUUUCAAUAUCCAUCAAAGUCCAUUUAUAGAAUCAUGCAACCAUGAUUCCCUUUGUUCAGGCAAUGUUGGUUCAGUCAUUGCGAUGCCAAGGGAAAUGUGUUCAUGAGCUGAUCAGAGCUGUAAAAAUCUAAAAAGAGUGUUGAUAACCCAAUUUGGAAUGGAAAUAGAGUAGAACAAUCAUUAGAACUUCUAGUGAGGAAUACAACGACUCGCUGACUUGUUGCCUCACUUUCUUUUCUUUCCUAAUUUACAGUGAAUGGUCCUUAUUUAGCAUUAUGCUGUAGGAGUACAUCGAUUGUUUUGCUAGUAGAGGAGGAAAUAUCUUGAUGACCAAUUGUAAGGUGAUGAGGAGAGACGCGUCUUGUUUGUUGUAGUGGAUAUAAUUGACUACAGUCAGUAAAACAGUCCUUUGUGAUUGUGUAAAAACUUCGAAGUUCUUGCAUCAAAUUGUCCUCAAGUUGUUGGUUAUGUGUUAAAGCUCGUUCCAACUAUUUCUUCUUCAUGUAAUAAUAGCUGACAGUUUUGCCUCCUUGCUUUGCAUGUAGCAUAACAGAUACUUGAUACUUGAAUUUGUAGCUUCUCCCAUGUUAAGUAAAGCGGUUUUGUAUUGAAUUCAACGAAUUUUAGCAUUAUCUUUCCUCCUGUCUUGCUUGCUUCUCUUAGUUAUUGGCAUGAUACCUCUGAAGUAAUCAAUAACUCAGUUGGAAUAGAGAAUGUUGAGGAGAUAGUAUCUUUUUGGUAUUUCUCUGAUUCAUUAUGUCUUGCUAGGUUAGUGUGGUUUUCCCAAAAUCUUUUCCGCUGUUGUAUCUGAAAAAAAAAAAAAAAAAAAAGGUUUCCACUGAUUUUGGGAUGCUAAUAAACACUACUGUUAUCUAAGACUGAGAGUUUGCUCUAUUUCAUACAUAAUGUGCAGUAUUGCUUGGAUUUGUUAUGGGCCAUACUCAUACCCUAUUUUUCUUGCCAGAGAGUGAAGAAAUUCUCAUUGGCCGAAGAAAACCAAGGAAGUGUUGAUGCGAGUAGCGAGAAGAAACAUUAAUCACUUGUGAUUGCUAGACUUGUAUUAAACUUGACCAGGUUGUUGCACCAUUUUUUCAGCUAACAGUGAUUGAGGCUAGACAAUGAAAGAUGAUUGCACAUUGCAUAAUCAAGAGGGCCAAGGUUUUCUGCUUAAUGAUGAUCUUAUCCUGUAUUUCAUACUGAAACAUCAGAAACUCUUCCUUUCAUGUCAUUUUCAAUUUAAAGAGCUCCUUUUGAAGGCCAGGUAGGACUUGUUCUUCUGCACCUUCGAUUUACAAGUUGAUGUUGUCUCUAUGAUCAUUCAAAGCAUUUGAUAAGAACCUUUGGAACGCUCCAGAAAGUUGAAAUUGCACAAUCACAAUUCUUCGUUUAAAAAUAAUUGUUAUCCUUGAACACAGUAGGAUACGUAGUAUAGUUGACAAUAGGGUUGGUGCUUCAAAUUUACUGGAAAUGAAGGUCUAUUCUAGCCAUCAAACUAAUGGUGGUGUACUUGCCAGAAAGUCAAGUUACCAAACUGGCGAUACCCAACAGAUUCUUUGAACACUUAGGCCUUGCUUGGAUUGAAGGUUUUCGUCGGAAAAUAUUAUCGUUUUCCGUGAUCACAUUUCCCUAUCACCUUUUUCCCUCACAUAUAUCAAAUCGCUACAGUAAUUUUUUCAUGAAAAAUGACGGAAAAUGCAAUCCAAACACAACCUUACUCUGCAACAAAUUUAUGAAUUCUGUGCAACGUUGCUCUGUUUGGAUUAUAAAUUAUUUGAGAUAUUUUUACUGCAGCACUUUUUGUGAUGUGAUGUAUGUUAGAUAAAAAGGUAAUUGGAAAGAUAAAAAGGUGUGUUGGAAAUUGUAAUAAUGAUGUAAGCAAAUAAAUUUUAACAAAUAAUUCCUCUAUCCAAACAAACUUGUGUAGCUGGUGUAAAGAGGAUCAGGUUACCUCAGAAUAUUGCUUAUGCAGCUUAGUUUUGUUUCAUCGGAAUUCUCCGAGGCUAGCCUCCGAAGUAAUGUCCCUGCCUCCUCUUUCAUGAUGGCAAGCAUAUAGCACAGAAUUGCUCAGAGCGCGGUAGAUCAGGUGACAAUGGGGGAGCAAAGCUGCGGCCCCUGUUUAAGCUCAUUGCAUAUGACACUAAUCUAAUCCAUUUUGAGCCUCCACUGAGCUCUUGCAAUCUCAGACUGCGAUGAAAGGAUACACUACCCAUACUUGCAUAGGAUUGCAGCAGAAAGCCUCAGUAUACAACCUCUUUCUUAGGUUGAUUAAAAGAUCUUGAUAAUUCACCUUUGACGAAGAAAUACAGAAAUAUAGUUUGGAGAUGAGCACAUAGAAUUGGAUCCAGUCAAAUAGGAAGCAAGUUGGGAAGAUGAACCAAAACCUGUUCUAGUAAAUAGCAGUUUAAUGCAACAAUUACUCGAAAGAAUCCCAUAGUAAGAUGCUUAAUGUAUGUCCCAGGACGACAUUACAUAAGCAUUCGUGAAAGUCUUUCUAACAAUUUACUUGUGCAUUUCAAUUCACUCUUAGCCUAUAACUCUCUCCUGGGCAAUAGUCGGAUGGAUUUAUAAUCAAAUAACCUGGAAGUUGAGGGGAACUUCCAGGGUGUGGAUGAGAUAUGUAAGCACCAGAGCCAACAACAUCAAGACGUAAGCAAUCCCCUGGUCAAUAGUUGUCCCUGAAAUAUGAAUACAAAAUCAAACUUUUAGGAAGCUUUCAGUGAUAUGCUUACUAGCAGGCAAGCCUGAAAAAGUAACGAUUUAGGUAGGAAUAACUGUAUCAUGCUAGGAAUUGUGUCUUAAACCACGGAUUUACAUCUUCUACGUAGCAAAUAUCCAUGAAGUAAAUAGGAACCAGAAAAAAUAAAAAUGCGAAAAGAUCCUGUGUCGUCAUUGUCAUUAAAAGUCAGGGCAAGUAAAUUGUAUAGUUGAUUUUGUUUCAGAGGAUGACUUCUGCAAUGUAUCAUAUGCUCCUUUUUUUUUUUUUUUUUUUGGAAAUCAAUUAACUAAUUAUUGUCUUGAAACUCGGUCGGUGCAUAACUUGAUUACUCAAUAAUCAAGUAAACUGCCCGGCGAUUGCUUUUCAUUGUAUCACUUCAGUCAACCAAAACUCAUAGUGAUUUAAGUAUUUUACAGUAAAAAUUAGUCAAAAGGUCAGUUGAAAAUAUCAAUUACAGUUUGUCAAUCUCAAAACUCCAAAGAUGACAUUAUUGUCAUGUUUAGCAAAUAGCUGCUGCAACAAAACUAUAGGCACUCUACGCACAAGAAGAAGAGAAGAUCCCAGAUCCCUCCUCCAAAGGAAACAAGGUAAUGCCAUUUUCACCAUAAACCAUGGCCAUCAAAGAAUUUCCGGCCAACCAUGAACAGCAAUCCCACUUUUUCUAAGAUCCAGAACAAGAAAAAGAAAACAAAAUAAAAUCCGCACUAUUGAACAAGCCAAACAAAAUGGUACACAAAUGACAGUAAAAAAAAUUUUACCGUCACUGGUGGGAGCAGGAGCCGGGGCUGGAGGGAAGCUAUGAUGAACAUGACCCUCAGCAGCAGCAGGCAUAAAGACGGUGAAAAUAACAGCAAUUAGGACGACAACGACGAGGCCAUUGCACAUUCUUUUAUUGAUCUCCAUCUCUCUCUCUCUCUCUCUCUCUGGUUGAUCUCUUACUCUUUGUACUAAUCAAUAAAUAAUUUUGCUCUCUGGCUCUCACUCUCUAUUUCUGCUACAGCGGUCCGAAAGGAAUGAAGCUGCUAUAGUCUUCAAUAAUAUGUUCCUACAAGGAAAUUGUACUGGUACUAGACUACGAGUCUUCGAAUGGAAAUGGUGACCACUUUUGCAGCUUUAAUUCCCCUACUUGUACCCCCUUUUUUUUUGUGUCCCACUCUUCUUUUGAACAGAUCUAACAAGAUUCUAAACAAGUACGUGAAAGGCUGCAAUGAUUUCUUUCUUCCUCAUGCCAACUUGCCCAUUUUUACUUUUGCCGUAAGACUAAUCUUUUCAAUUUUUUUAAAAAUUUUUUACUUAAGGUUGCUGGUACUACUUAAUUGAGGCUUAAGAGUUUUUCCUUAAUCAAAAUUAGAUCAGAAAAGUGACUAAACGUACGAAUAAACAAAAAAAAAAAGUAUGUAAAGUUGUAUAUAUAAAAUAGUAAGUUGUGUAUAUUAGAUCAGAGGUUUCUCACAAUUGCAGAGAUCUCCCCUCAAGUUUAUUAAAUUAUAUCUACCUCCCUUACUUUUACUUAUAUAACAAUAUCCUAAACUACCCUUUUUGUACAAAAAUAAAACAAAAUUUAUUUUGCCAAUUGCUUUCUUCCAUAUUUUAACCAAACUCACUAUAUUAACAAACUAACCUAAUAAAUAGUCUAAUUUGAAAUUCUAAACCCAAGCAACCAAAGCAUGCAUUCAAUCUUGAAGAUUCGUUCCGAAGCAUGCAUUCAAUCUAUUAUCAUAGCAUGCAUUCGUUCUAUUAUCAUAGUCAUAAAAUUGUUUCUCCCAAAGCAUGCAUUCAAUCUUGAAGAUUCGUUCCAUUCUUCAAAAAUAUUCUCACUAUAUGGUUCCAUGGAAUAGUCAAAUUCACAAUCAACUGUCCUUAUGGUUGCAUAAUCUUCCAACACAGAACGCCAUGAUUUGAUUCCAUAUAAGUGGUUUAACUCCUAUUAAAUGAGCCACAUUAUGGCCUUGAAGAAAAUCCUCAGGCGAGAUUUAGGCAUGGAUGAGAUUAAUCAAAUUUAAGAGAAGGAAAGACAUCAUCAUUAUGACUAUAGAGAUCUUCAAGAAAUUCAUUUUGCCAAAAAUCAAAAUUCUAUUUACAACUAAUCACACCCCAAACUUCAAACCCAAUGCCUACACCUUUUCAAAACAAAAUAAUCUAACCUACCAUUAAAUCUCCAAAUAUGUUAUCAUGUUAAAUAUAGAGAAGCAACUCUAUCUCCAUAGCAAAACCAUAACCAACAAUUGUCAAGCAUAAAAAGAAAUAUAAAUGUACUUAUUAACAUCUUAAAAAAUUUUUUGGAUAAAUGAUAAACAAAUUAUCAAAUUUACUAAUUUUAGCCCCUCUUCGUCUUUUGGCCAAUGAUUGCAUUAUUUGUUCCAUUAUUAUUGUGUGACUCUUCAUUUCCUUUUUAGAUUGACUAUGUAAUUAAAUUUUACUUCAACCAUCAAAUCUAAUCGCUCAACUAAACUUAUGAUUUGACAAUUCCAAAGAGAAAAAAGGAGAAAUAGGAAUAUAUAGUAGAGUUUAACGGAUCACUUGUGGUGUGAUUGACUGCAAUUAUAAGCAAUAGUUAGUGAUAAUUUGAGAGUGAAUUGUAGGAGAAAGGGGUUGAUGGAUGAGAACGAAGUGACGGUAAGUGAGAGCAAAUGGACGUUGGUCGCAAUUUGUAAACAAGAUAAACGAAAAAGUUAGGUUUCUUUUCUUUUUUUAAUCUCAUUUCAUUGUACUGUUGAAUUAUUUAUUAAUUGAAUGUCAUUAUAGUCAUUUUAUUGUGACAAGGGAGGUCAGUGUAAUUUAUAAAACCUGAGGGGAGCCGAGUGAAAUUGUCAAAAACCUCAAGGAAGGUUUGUGAAAUUAUUCCUAUUAAGUAUCAGCAGGUACUCUAGAUUCUCUGUUAAAAAAAUCCAUACUUAAUAAGUCACCAAUACCCUCGAUUAUCCAUUACAUGAAUUUGUAUAUAUAAAAUAGUAAGUAGAAUCAUGAAACCCGAUCUAGAUUGUAAGAUGUUUUACUUAAAAUCGAAAGGUCAAAGUUUGAAUCAUCAAGGGAAAAAGUGAGGAACAUAUUGAUCAUUUAAAAAAUUAAAAUAUAAAAUAUUGCCCGUUAAAAAAAAAUCCAUACUUUAUUAGUAGGUUUAUAUAAGUAUUACAUAUCUUUUUGCAAAAAUCUACUCCUGUAGUUGAGUUGUGCUACACAAAUGGCCUUCAUGUUGUCCUAUUGCACAUGAUUGUAGAUUAAUUUUCAAAUAUUUCAUUUUCUAAACCGCAUAAAAUAAUGUUAUUUGUCAUCCAAGAAGAUAAUGUGAGGUUAUAACGAAAAUAAGAGAAAGGAAAAAAAUUGGAUGCUCCUUGAUUUACUUUUUGUCAAAAAUGGUUGAUGUCGUCAAAGUUAUAAGUACUAAGUUUAUCUUAGCACGUGGUAAUAAAAAGAUAGGUGUGAAGUAAAAGAAUGCCUAAGAAUCUCUAAUAUCGCCUGCCAAAUCAACAAAAUUACUUGCUAUUUUGGAUUUCUUGUAGAGAAAGAAGUGGCUAGUAUGGUCCUCCGGUUCAAGUCAUGUUGUUAGACCCGGACCGAAUCUACCAGUUCGAGCAGUUUAACCGUGAACUAGCCUUCAUCUCGAGCUGAUUUGUAACACAAAAUCAUUUUGAUAAAAAAUCAGUCAGAACCAUUCAAAAUUGGCUAAACCAGUGACCCGAUUUCGACUGAUUGACCCGAUUCUCAAACUUUUCUUUCUUCUUUUCCCCAAACAUAAUUUGAGUUACCUAAAAUGUAACACAUUCAUAUAUUAAUAGGAAUAAGAAAACACCACCAACUUAGUGUAAAUACGUACCAAAAUCAGUCACUUUUCUGAAUGAUCUCUAAAUCAAGAUGUUUUCAUCCUUAUGACCUUAUCAAUUUAGUAUCAGUGAUUUCAACUUGUAUUAAUUUAUUUUAAUUUAGUUUUUCAAGUAGUAGUCAUAAAUUUACAUUUUUAUAUAUAAUUAUUAGGUGUAUAUAUGAUUGCAAGUCUAAUAUUUUUGGAACAUUUUCUAUGAUUAGCAGAAUAUAACCAAAAACUUAAUUUCAAUAUUUCUGAAACUUAUAAAAAUAUAAAGUAAUUAUGAUAUCAUAUUGAUGUCAGUGAAUUUUUAAGAAUGAUCCGACCAAUCUGUCAAAUUAACCUUUGAUCCAAUAGGUUAGCCGAGUCGUUAUCCGGUCCGAAUUUAAUAACAUUGGUUCAAGUCCCUCAGUUUUCGUAAUAAAACAAAUUUUAAUUUUAUUGGGUAAAUGAAGUACUAUUUAAUUUUCGGUCGUGCAAUGCAACCACUCCAUUAACAGUAUGUCCAAAAUUUAGAUACCUAUUAGUAUUUGGUUUCUCGAGAAAUAAUCCCCGUUAUGAUUUAAGAAAUAAAUGCAUAAUAGUCGUAUCGGAUUCGGAUCUAAUGACAUGAAUAUAUGCUUAGGCAUUGUUUGUUGUAACGUGAAUAUGACCAGAACUCAAAAUUCUCUGGCGUAAAAAGAUACCAGACGAGACACCAUAUCCAUAUGUAGUAGUCAUGGCGAAGAAGAACAGAUGAAUUGCUGGAUAAACUCACCAUGUGUAUGGAAGGUCAGCUGCUGAACCUGGAACUAUAUAGGAGCUACAUAUAUAGGAUCGAGUUAACUAAACCUAGAUGCAAUCGACCUUAAUCUAUCUUUGUCAUUGCAUAUCCUAAAUUUCUCGCAUAAAUGACAAAGCCCUUCUCUUUAGAUCUUUUAAACCUUAUUUUCUCCUCCUCCUCUUAGAACUCCUUCAGUCAAAAGCUCUCUCUCUUCUCUCUCUCUCUCUCUCUCUCUCAUGGGAGAGAGACUAGACAAAUAUGAUUUUUACUUAUAGGAGUAAAUUCUUUCAUAGGAUUUUCUAAUGAGAGACUCUUCCUUUCUAGAAUCUCCCUAUGAGAGUUUCUUCUCUCUCUAGAGUGUUCUAGUGAGAGUUCUGAGCGUUUUUCUUCAUGAAAGUUUUGUUUAGUUUUUAUAUCUUUGUAUGAAAUUUGAAAUUUUAUACAUCUAGUUUUUCAAAUCUACAAUUUCUCUGUUCAUUAGUAUUAGAUCUAAAUUUCUCUUUUGGCUUGGCCCUGCUUUUAAUUAUGUCUGAUUGUUGGAAGACAUGCACAGGUCUAUGGAAUUGCAAUGAUUCAUUUGAUUGAAAAAUGUGUUAAGAGUUUAGCUUUAUUUUUGUCUUGUAUUCAGUAUUGAUUUCAGGUCUGUAUAUAUCUGUAUCGCGUUUGAUUUGAUAUAUUUUUACCAUUAGUGCAAAUUUAUUGAAUAAAAUGGUCUUUUAUCAAAAAAAAAAAAAGUUCUAAACCAUUAUCAUUAUCUCAAAAGAACUGUAGCAAAAAUGUCAAAGCAUUAGCUCAAGCCAUUAUCACACACUAAAAUGUUUAAUGACUUCAUCUUGCUAUGAUAAGUCCCUUUUACGUCACAAAUCGGGUGUACGUGCGUGGAUCAAUAUAACAUACGAGACCGGGCACUUUUGUUCUAGUGAUACAAGUAGUAUUUUGAUUCGAGCAACUUGAUUACAAUCUAACCGUGACGUCGCGUCAUACGUGGGGAGAAUGCAAUAAAACCGAGGCGUUUUCCCACUUGUACAGUUCGUUUCAGAAGCAGGUUUUGAGUAGUCUCGAUCCUGAUUUUGAUCAAUGCAAGCGUGCUAUUUUAAUUAUUGCUUCUCAGCAAGAUUACCUGGAUAAGAGGGCAGGCAGAUGCAUUUGUUGCAAUAAAUGAGAGAGCUACUAGACUGAGAGUUUUUUGAACACGAAACUACAUGCAACAAUAAUUGCCGGAACUCAUUAGCCUUUCCAAUUGAGCAGAGAAAAGAAAAUUCAUUGGACCAGUGAUGGUAUAUAUGGCUACAUGCCUGCUACCUUACUGUUUUCUUUUAAGAAAAUUUAUGUACUAGUUGCGUUCCAGGUUGAUGCAAUCACUGAAUCUCUUUCCACGUGGAAGCAAUCAAACCCAAGUGAAAUCCUAACAAUAAGAGUUGCAAAAUUCUCAAACCCCUUGUGCUUUUCAGUUUCAUAUGUAUUCACCUGGUUUUAUUGUCUAUCGAGCCUUGGGGUGUGUGACUUUAUAUAUGGAUGACAAGAGCAAAUGAGUCGGUGAUCGACGCACAUAGAACAUGCACCCAGAACUAACCACAAAUUUAGAUGAGCUUAAUCUGCAUGCCCUGUACUUAGAUGUGGGCAUAUAACUCAGACGUUAAUUUCUCUUUAUCAGUAGGUAGAUUACAGUAGUAUUAUUCUGGCAAUUGGCGAGGCGAGAUUCAGGGUUUGGAGUAGGUAUGGCUGUACUUCUAUACAAUAUCAUGCAGUUUUUUGACUUAUGAUAUAUUUCGAUGUACAAAUAUUGUGUAUGUAAACAAAAAAUUUCUUACAUCUGGUACAAAAAUACAACAUGAUUUUACAUCAAAAAAUUUGUAACAAAUACAACACCUGGACUGAACAGAUCGCGUUCCAUCACAAGCGCAAGGAUUCGAGCUAAUUAGGAAGCAACAACGUUGUGAACAAAUUUGUUUUGGUUGUAGUGGAUCAAAGCAGAUGCAAUCACGCAACUUUAACUUGGCAUUAGCAUUAAUCCGGAAUUUCUUGUUCUAUCAGGACAUGGUAAAUAAUUAAGUUAGUAUCAAGAAUCUGGAAAGCUGCUUAAUUUCAAAGCUACGCACCGUCAGACUACACAUAUUCGAUUAACUUCCGAAAUUCCAAACUUAUUGCAUUGAACAAGAGCUUAUAGUUUAAUUACAGAGGGGGACUCAUGCAUGGGAAGCUGAUCAUCAAACUCGUUUUAACAAGUACCAUGAUUAACACUGCUACAUACCCCAAUCUAUUAGUAGUAUAUAUUACCUAGUAUAGGAACAAGUACUGCAAGAAACGUAGCAGACACAUCGAACGUGCAUGACGCAGAGGGAUUGGAAUUGUAUAUUAGCAGUGCGUCGUAUUUAAUUAAUACUGAUCAGGCCAGAGGAAAGCUCCCAUAGCAAACUUCCUCUUCUGAUUGAGGUCACCAGCGGCGGGAAGUCCGUAGGCUUUGAGCAGACAAUCGAGUUGGGGUUCGGGCAUCUUCUCGUAGUCAGUCUUCUUGAACCUGGGGUAGUGCAAAGGCAUCUGAAAUGCGCAACAGGAGUUGCUGCUGCUGCUUCUGGUCCCUAAAGAUUGGUUUUUCUGGUGGUAGCCGUUUGGCAUAUUUAGACCAGAAUUGUAAUUGUUGCGUGUAGCAGAGGUAGGAAGGGAAGCUGCUCCAUUCAUGAUUGCUGCUGCAACUAUUUUUGGUUUUUGGUUUUUCGUCUCGGGAAACUAUCCUUUGGUGAAUGAAACG